AUGUGAAUUGCAGAAUUCAGUGAAUCAUCGAAUCUUUGAACGCACAUUGCGCCCUGUGGUAUUCCGCAGGGCAUGCCUGUUCGAGCGUCAUU
rnacentral:rRNA from 1 species